AACAAACGCUGGCGGCGUGCCUAACACAUGCAAGUCGUACGAGAAAGGGUCCUUCGGGGCCUGAGUAAAGUGGCGCACGGGUGAGUAACGCGUGGAUAAUCUGCCCUUCAGUUGGGAAUAACUCAUUGAAAGGUGGGCUAAUACCGAAUAAUGCUGUGAGGCCUCGGUUGAUCAGCCAAAGAGAGCCUCUGCUUGCAAGCCCUCGCUGAAGGAUGAGUCCGCGUACCAUUAGCUAGUUGGUAGGGUAAUGGCCUACCAAGGCGACGAUGGUUAGCUGGUCUGAGAGGAUGAUCAGCCACACUGGAACUGAGACACGGUCCAGACUCCUACGGGAGGCAGCAGUGAGGAAUCUUGCGCAAUGGGGGCAACCCUGACGCAGCAACGCCGCGUGAGUGAGGAAGGUCUUCGGAUCGUAAAGCUCUGUCGGAUGGAAAGAACCGCGUAGGGGUAAACAGCCCCUGUGUCUGACGGUACCAUCAAAGGAAGCACCGGCUAACUCCGUGCCAGCCGCCGCCGUAAAAC
rnacentral:rRNA from 1 species